UAGCAUGGAAUAAUAAAAUAGGACGGCGGUUCUAUUUUGUUGGUUUCUAGAGCCACCGUAAUGAUUAAUAGGGAUAGUCGGGGGCAUCAGUAUUCAAUUGUCAGAGGUGAAAUUCUUGGAUUUAUUGAAGACUAACUACUGCGAAAGCUUUUGCCAAGGAUGUUUUCAUUAAUCAGUGAACGAAAGUUAGGGGAUCGAAGACGAUCAGAUACCGUCGUAGUCUUAACCAUAAACUAUGCCGACUAGGGAUCGGGCGGUGCUCAACUUAUGACCCGCUCGGCACCUUACGAGAAAUCAAAGUUUUUGGGUUCUGGGGGGAGUAUGGUCGCAAGGCUGAAACUUAAAGGAAUUGACGGAAGGGCACCACCAGAUGUGGAGCCUGCGGCUUAAUUUGACUCAACACGGGGAAACUCACCAGGUCCAGACACAUUAAGGAUUGACAGAUUGAGAGCUCUUUCUUGAUUAUGUGGGUGGUGGUGCAUGGCCGUUCUUAGUUGGUGGAGUGAUUUGUCUGCUUAAUUGCGAUAACGAACGAGACCUUAACCUGCUAAAUAGCCAGGCUAGCUUUUGCUGGUCGCCGGCUUCUUAGAGGGACUAUCGGCUCAAGCCGAUGGAAGUUUGAGGCAAUAACAGGUCUGUGAUGCCCUUAGAUGUUCUGGGCCGCACGCGCGCUACACUGACGGAGCCAACGAGUAUAAACCUUAACCGAGAGGUUUGGGUAAUCUUGUUAAACUCUGUCGUGCUGGGGAUAGGGCAUUGCAAU
rnacentral:rRNA from 1 species